rnacentral:rRNA from 1 species
GACGAACGCUGGCGGCGUGCUUAACACAUGCAAGUCGAACGGAAAGGCCCCUUCGGGGGUACUCGAGUGGCGAACAGGUGAGUAACACGUGAGUAACCUGCCCUUGACUUCGGGAUAACUUCAGGAAACUGGGGCUAAUACCGGAUAGGAAUCCUUGCUGCAUGGUGGGGGUUGGAAAGCUUCGGCGGUUUUGGAUGGACUCGCGGCUUAUCAGCUUGUUGGUGGGGUAGUGGCUUACCAAGGCUUUGACGGGUAGCCGGCCUGAGAGGGCGACCGGCCACAUUGGGACUGAGAUACGGCCCAGACUCCUACGGGAGGCAGCAGUGGGGAAUAUUGCACAAUGGGCGGAAGCCUGAUGCAGCAACGCCGCGUGCGGGAUGACGGCCUUCGGGUUGUAAACCGCUUUCAGCAGGGGCGAAGCUUGUGGUGACGGUACCUGCAGCAGAAGCACCGGCUAACUACGUG